rnacentral:rRNA from 1 species
CCUACGGGUGGCAGCAGUAGGGAAUAUUGCACAAUGAGGGAAACCCUGAUGCAGCGACGCCGCGUGAGUGAAGAAGUAUUUCGGUAUGUACAGCUCUAUCAGCAGGGAAGAAAAUGACGGUACCUGAUUAAGAAGCACCGGCUAACUACGUGCCAGCAGCCGCGGUCAUCCGUAGGGGGCAAGCGUUAUCCGGAUUUACUGGGUGGAAAGGGAGCGUAGACGGCAGCACAAGUCUGGAGGUAAGUGCCGGGGCUUAACCCCGGAACUGCUUUGGAAACUGUGCAGCUAGAGUGAAGGAGAGGUAAGUGGAAUUCCUAGUGUAGCGGUGAAAUGCGUAGAUAUUAGGAGGAACACCAGUGGCGAAGGCGGCUUACUGGACUGUAACUGACGUUGAGGCUCGAAAGCGUGGGGAGCAAACAGGAUUAGAUACCCUUGUAGUC